CUGUUAAAAAGCUCGUAGUUGGAUCAAGGGCUCGACUGUGCAGGGUGGCCCUGUUUGACUCGAUAGGCCCUGCUUACCGGGUCGGCAGCGGGUAAACCCCCUGCGCUACGCAGUCGACUCUAACAGGCUGAAACGGUUCCCUGUGAGUAGGGUCCUUCAUUGGGCCUGAAAGCGAUCACGCAUCAACCAUAUGCAUACGGGACGUCGGCCAAUGUUACUGUGAACAAACCAGCGUGUCCAAGGCAGGCUUGCGCCUGAACGUUCGAGCAUGGAAUAACAAGGGAUCGAUUCUCUCGGUUCUUUUUGUUGGUUUUUAACCCGAGAAGGAGUAAUUCAGUCCACGGUGUCUGAAUUGGGUUUCCCCAGUCUUCGGGCUGGGCCCCAAUUAGGCCGUGUACUUACGGGAUAAAUAGGGACUGACGGGGUCGUACGUACUUCCACGUCAGAGGUGAAAUUCUUAGAUCGUGGGAAGACGAACUUCUGCGAAAGCAUUCGACAAGAAUGUCUUCAUUAAUCAAGAACGAGAGUGUGGGGAUCGAAGAUGAUCAGAUACCGUCGUAGUCCACUACUGUAAACAAUGCCGUCUCAGGAUUGAGAAGUGAUCAUUAUGU
rnacentral:rRNA from 1 species